rnacentral:rRNA from 1 species
UACGAAGGGGGCUAGCGUUGUUCGGAAUUACUGGGCGUAAAGCGCGCGCAGGCGGUCUUCCAAGUCAGCGGUGAAAGCCUGGAGCUCAACUCCAGAACUGCCAUUGAAACUGUUAGACUUGAGUACGAGAGAGGUGAGUGGAAUUCCCAGUGUAGAGGUGAAAUUCGUAGAUAUUGGGAAGAACACCAGUGGCGAAGGCGGCUCACUGGCUCGUAACUGACGCUCAGGCGCGACAGCGUGGGGAUCAAACAGG